GCCGGGCGAGGUGGCGGGCGCCUGUAGUCCCAGCUACUCGGGAGGCUGAGGCAGGAGAAUGGCGUGAACCCGGGAGGCGGAGCUUGCAGUGAGCCGAGAUCCGGCCACUGCACUCCAGCCUGGGCGACAGAGCGAGACUCCGUCUCAAAAAAAAAAAAAUUUUUUUGUUGUUGUUUUUUGAGACGGCAUCUCACUGUGUCACCCAGGUUGGAGUGCAGUGGUGGGAUCUCUGCUCACUGCAACCUCUGCCUCCUGGGUUCAGGUGAUUCUUCUGCCUCAG
rnacentral:SRP_RNA from 1 species